GCAUUGGUGGUUCAGUGGAAGAAUUCUUGACUUUUAUACAGAAGACCCUGGUUCGAUUCCUAGCCGAUGCA
rnacentral:tRNA from 1 species